UUGAUACAUCGGGUGAUCGCCGAGCACUCAACUUGCACUGCGCUUUUGCGCAAAUACGAAGUAGUGCAAAUUGAGUGCUCGGAGGAAAGUCCGAACACCAUCGAGCACACAACAUACACUGUGUUUUGCGCAAAAAAUUUUAUAGUGUAUGUUGUGUGCUCGAUAGCGAUAGUGGCUAACGGCCACGCUUUGCAGGAGGAAUCUUGCGGGGACGGAAACCGAAACACAUAAAAUUAUGAUUUUAUGUGCUCGGCCGAGCACUAAGUCCUAGUGCUUUGGGUGCAACAGAAAAUAUACGGCCUAUGGCCACCCUAAAGGUGUCCAGGCAAAGGUGAAAUCGUGCGGUCCCCAAACGGACUUAAAGUAAGAGCGCACGUCUUGUUGCCGCGAGGUAACAUGAUUGAAAACUCCUAUCCGGUGCAACUGACUCGCAAUAUCAAAAUUUCGAUAUUUCGAGUUGGGCUUGAGCCAGAGAGUAAUCGAAGGCCCAGACAAAUGAUCACCCUCCCCACUUUCCGAUAAUUUUAGAAAGUGGGGGGACAGAAUUCGGCUUACAGAUAUAUCAAGGAC
rnacentral:RNase_P_RNA from 2 species